CCUUAACAAGUUAGCCAAACCAAUGCAUUAUAUUUAAGAUUUAAGUUAUAAAUUCUAUAAAAAUUCAGAAAAUACUUAUGAAGUCAUGAUUCUACCCUGCUCAAUUAAAUAGGAAAGGACAACAGUCUAUACAUCCAUGUUGGGACAUUGAUUGGUUUGCAUGACUUUGGUAAGCUCAGUAGGCCUAAGCUUUCUUUUCUCUAGAGGGCUGGAUUGCCUGAGAUUGGCUUUAGUGAUUGAGAGAGUAACAGAUUGACUCUAAGACCCUGUGCCUAAACAGUUUCAUCAAGCCGUGCAGAUCCCACUUCCUGCUUCUUUGAAGGAGACAUUAACCGUGGCCCAAAUUGCAUUUGCAAAAGAGUUGAAUUAAUAAGUUUGAAUUUUUUUGUUCUCCAAACUGUGGAGACAGUGAUCAUUGGUAGUUUUGUUUCUUUAAUAAUGUACAUCACAUCCCAGUGGAACCCAGAAUUAACGACAGUACAUUAUAUGUUACAAAGUAAAAUGUAUUUUAAAUAUUCUAUUUUUUUUAAAGGUUUUUAUUACAUCCAAAGCAACCAUCAACAGGUAUGGUUUUCUUUCCUUUUUUUUUUUAUUUGGUUUAGAUUUUAUUUAUUUAUUUGACAGACAGAGAUCACAAGUAGGCAGAGAGGCAGGCAGAGAGAGAGGGAGGAAGCAGGCUUCCCGCUGAGAAGAGAGCCCGAUGCGGGGCUCAAACCCAGGACCCUGAGAUCAUGACCCGAGCCGAGGGCAGAGGCUUUAACCUACUAAGCCACCCAGGCACCCCAACAGAAGCCUGGGUAGCUGUAGUGUAAACUGAAGACAUGGGUGAUUAGGAUGUUAAGUGGGAGCAAAGAAAGCUCUUCGUUAUUCUUUUGGAAAUAAAAAGGGAUAAAACUCAGCGAUCAUUAAGCCUUUCACUUUCCUACAAUUUGUCAGCACAGUUGGGGGCUGGCUUCCUUUCCACAGAUCUGCAAGGAAGGUGAUGGGCUGCAUGGGGAUUUACAAACUGAGGAAAACAGAGACGAGUCCAGUGGGGGAAGGGAAGAUAGAAAAGAUCUUGAAGUCAGAAAAACU